CCACUUAUUUUCUAAUGCUGCUGUUAUUUCAUGUCAAUACAGUUCUUCUGUCAUUCUGAAUUUAUAAGAAACAGUUAAAUAAUUUUGGACAGUUCCCUGUCCGCCGU